GAGAGCAGAGCGAGAGGGCCACUCGGGUUGGUUAGAAGAACCCAAUGCAAGUGUGAGUGAGCUGACGGCACGGCGGACGCGCUCGCCUCUCCUCUCCUCUCCUCUCCUCUCCUCUUCUUCCGGCUCUCCCUCUCCGCAUGCCAUUCCAACGCAUUACCGGUAUUUUUAGCCGCCGGAGGAGACGGGUAGCUGCGUAGCCACUAGCGAGAGAGAGAGGGAGGGGAGAAACCAUAGCUCCUGGCCGUUCUGCCUGCCCAUCCACCGCGGCGCCGGCCGUCCGUCUCCCGUCCACAUCCCUCCUCCUCUCCUGCAAGGUUCCUGUGCGUAGCGCAGAGGGGUCGGAGUCGGAGUCGGAGUCGGAGAAGAUGAUGGGCGGGUUCCUCUCCAGGGUCCUCCUGUUGGCUUUUGGCUAUGCCUAUCCUGCCUACGAAUGCUACAAGACUGUUGAACUGAACAAACCAGAGAUUGCGCAGCUCAUAUUUUGGUGUCAGUAUUGGAUUUUAGUUGCCCUGUUGACAGUUUUGGAGAGAUUCGGAGAUUUCACAAUAUCAUGGCUACCGUUCUACUCGGAAGCAAAGCUGAUGUUCUUUGUAUACUUGUGGUACCCUAAGACAAAGGGAACUACGUAUGUUUAUGGAACUUUCUUUAAACCAUAUAUUUCUCAGCAUGAGAAUGAAAUCGACCGGAAUCUCCUUGAGCUGAGAGCUCGAGCCACCGACACGGUUGUACUUUAUUUUCAGAAGGCUGCUUCGGCAGGACAAAGUACUUUCUUUUGACGUUUUAAAAUAUGUUGCUGGCCCAGUCACCUUCUCAGAAAUCAAGGCAACGCCUUCAUCAGGAUUCACAGCAGCCGCCACAACAACAACAACCACAAGUGCAGGUGCAGCAGGCGCAACCACAAAAACAAGCAGCACCUGUUAUGCGCAGAGCAUCAUCUAUUGCUGCUCGGCAAGCAGCAAUGGCACAGCAAUCUCAGGAGACUAAACCCGUUUCAUCUUCGCCCAAGAUCAAGCGUCAAACAUCAGCGAGAUCUGGUUCAGUGGCAUCCACAAAGCCUCCGGUAGCUGCAUCCGCGCUAAAACCUGGUGGUAGCCCAAAGAAAGGCGAGGUCAAACCUGCUGCCGACCCAGUUCAAACUCCAACCACAGGUGCCGAUUCACCGAAACCCGAGCCUAGCGCCCCAUCACUCCCUGGAGCCGAAGGGGUGGACAAGAUGGCCAUCGACGAGGCCAGUGGUGACGCCCCAGAGGGCGCAGAAGAGCUUGACCCUGCGCUCGAAGAGGAGACGCCGAUGGAGGAGACGAUCCGUGUGACGCGCGCCAAGCUAAGGAGGCGCACGGCCACCGAAGAUCCUGCUGGGAAUUAGCUGUAGGCCAUUGUUUUUCCUUUCCCUGCACAUUGUGUUGAUCUUUUUUUGGGUUUUAGGCUGUCAUGUUGUUUGGUGGAAUGGAGAUGUGUUGUUGAAUUGGUUCUUUGUGACACAGUUGAUUAUCUUGUUUCUGUGCUUUUUUGGUGCCCUUUUCUUGUUA